rnacentral:misc_RNA from 1 species
CGCUACAUUCAAUAAAGAAUUUGUAACGCCACUCAAGUCUUUUAAUGCAUUGAGAGGUUCGCGUUAGUUCUUGGUGUAGCUCUCUCUCCCACAAACAUAUUAUCGCUGGUUUUAUUAUUGCUUUUACCUCCUGGCCUGUAAAAUUAUUAAAGUGUGAAAUGAGUGAACGAAUUAAACUUUAUGUCGGCUCAUUGCCAUUUGACACCCGUGGUCCAGAUCUUGAGGAAAUGUUUUCAAAGUAUGGGACUCCUUAUGAUGCUCAUGUUGUAAUGGAAAAAGAAGAUCCGAAUCGUUCCAGAGGAUUUGGAUUUGUUGAGUUUGAAACAAAAGAAGAAGCUGAUGCUGCAAUUGCUGGACUUAAUGAAACUCCCUUGGGUCAUCGACAUAUUAUGGUUCAGCAUGCAGGACAACCUGCAAGCGGGAAACCUCCACAGCGUCGUGGCAGAGGUGGCGGCGGUGGUAGAGAUGGUGGUAGAGGUGGCGGUCGUGGUGGUAGAGGAGGUGGUGGUGGUCGUGGUGGUAGAUCUGGAGGUGGUAGAGGAGGUGGUGGCGGUGGUGGUAGAGGGGGACGCAGUGGUGGUGGUGGAGGAAGAGGAGGAGGUGGUGGCGGUGGACGAGGUGGUAGUAGAGGAGGAGGACGUAGUAAUAGCUAUGACAGUGGUGGUUUUGGUGGGGGAAGGGGUGGAAGCAGAGGCUUUGGUGGUCGUGAUGGUGGCGGAAGAGAUGGUGGAAGAGAUAAUCGUGGUGGUGGUGGUUUUGAAAGCAGAGGAGGUAAUAGGGGAUUUGAUGAUGGGCGUGGUGGUGGUCGUGGCGGUGAUUAUGGAAGAGGUGGAGGUAAUUAUGGUGAUAACUCUGGUGGAUAUGGUCAGUAUAGCCCGCCACAAGGAGGUUAUAAUGGAGGAGGUCGAGGUGGAGGGUAUGGUGGUGGUGGAUAUAACCAAAGUGGGUCACAUCCCGGAGGAGGUUAUGGUGGUGGUGGAGGGUAUGGAGGUCAUCAAGGAGGUGGUGGAGGGUAUGGACCAGACUCAAAACAUUCAACAAUGUUGAGCCUGGUACAAGAAUUGAAUUUUAGGACAUAAUUUACUCAAGUGAUAUCUUGAGGAACUUUUCUUUAGAGAGAAUAUAAAGUUGAUAUGUAAAUGUUGUUUAUAUUACCAGUGCUUUCUGAAUGGAGGGCUAUCAUUAAUAUAAACUCUUAGUUAAAUAUAUAUUCAAAAUAUAAUGGCGUGGAGCUAUUGUUUGCAUAAUGAACAUUUUAAAACUGAACACAACAAAGAUAUUAUUAAAUCAUAUCGCAACAGGCUUAGUGUUGUAACAACUCAGCAUUGGUCUAAUUUUUUUCGAAGUUAUUAAAGCAAAAACGUGUUGGCAACAAAAAGUUAAAACAAAUUAGCAAUUAACUUUGAAGAUAACAGUUGAAGAUAAAGAGCUUUGUAACUAGUUUUACAAAAUUUCUCGAAUACUUCUUAGUAACAGUUAUAUACAUUUAGCAUUUAAAAGAAAUACAUUUAUUCGAUAUUA